rnacentral:lncRNA from 1 species
CUGGCCUCCAGCCAGAGGCAUUCACUGCGCUCUGCAUAUUUCCUUAUCUAAAGAGGCAGCAAACAAAUGCUGAAAGGCUUAGGGAGAACUGAGUUCCUCUUUAUUUUCUUUUCACACAAUUUUUCAGUGUCAUCAGUAAGCAAAGCUCCAUCUGAGAAUUGAGAGCCUUGGCUAGGGAUUAUAUGGGAACCAAUCAGGACUUGGGCAUUUCACGCCUCUGACUUGCCACCUCGAGUCCAUUUGGAUGGAGAGAGCAGAGUCCUCUUGCUCGCCAAGCUGGGUCGACUGCAAGCCCCUCCACUGCUCCAUGUGGUGGAAAUGGUUGGCCCCAUUUUACAGAGGAGAAUGUAGUUUAAUAGAACAUAAACAACCUUAGAAGGCACGAGGUUGCCAUUUAUGGUGCUUGGUAUGGUUGGGAUUCAAUCUGAGAUGUGCUAUGGGAAUGGGGUGGUUGGGAAUCCCACUCCUUGUGUCUCUGGCCAGCCUCCUGUUCCCCUGUAGACCUUCUAUAGUAGCUUUGCUUCAUACAGCUGUAACCCAGAGCAUAUUUUAGGGCUCCUUGUAAAUCACCCAGUGUGGAUGAGCACCUGCCCUGCAGCCAGCCCUAUAUAGACCCAUCACCCAGUAACUGGGUAAGAACUGGUGUGUUAGAACAAAUGGAGUCCUGGUAACCAUAACGACCCACAUAUCUCUCCUGCCUGUUUUGUGUUCAUCUGGGCCAUCUGCUGUCAUCCCCCAGGAUUUCCAAGAGGGCCUGGGGGAGGUCAAAUUUGCUUCUCAGCCUAUGGCGUGAGCACAUUGAUUUUCUCGUGCACUGAAGCAUCGGGAUGUUGAAUUUGGAUGACGUGGCAAAUAAAGGAAUAUUCUCUGCUUCUCAGACCAAGCAAGGCACACGUAUUAAAGCAAAAGAUAAGAAGCACGAAUCUCCUCACAUGGUACACAAUGAGGAGGGAGCAGCUGCUCACUUUCCAAGGGUCCCAGAGGCCUCAGACCAGGGAGGGAGAUAGAAAGCUGCAGACAGACAGUUUUAAGUCCUUCAUCUUUAUUCAUUUAAUCAUCAAUGUACAUUAAGCACCACCUCUGUGCUGGCUUCGUGGAAACCAUGGCUAAUAUAAUGAUUCUUGGGUCAAGAAGCAAACCAGGACUGGAAUUAAGGCCAAGGGCGAGGCACAGGGCAGAUGCCAAGAGUGUUUUCCGGAGUCCUGUCCCACGAAGCAUCUUACAGCUGGAAGCACCUGCUUGCUGAGUUCCUAUCGAUGUGGCUGGUUGUGAAGCUCUGAGGAGGAAUGACCCUUGGCCAUUUCCACUUCCUUGGCAUUUCUUCUAACCCCAAGCAUCCUGAAGCAAGCUCUUUUGGGUGCCCUAUUCCUAUUGUACCGGCCCUCGGAGUCCUUUCCUGCAGUAUCUUUCCAUGUACACAGGAAAGAUGAUUCCAUCUCCAGCACAGGGUCAGUACUGAUUCAUCGAAGUGGCUCAUGGGAAUCUCAUCAUUAUAUAUAGUCAUAUACUUGGGUGUGCCCAUGUUACUUGGAUGGGCAGUACUGGAAAAUUUCCCCUUGUUCUUAAACUAGUGACUUACUAUUCUUUUCCAGCCAUUUUUGUAUCUGGAUGCGCUAUCUGGGCCUGUGGUAGUUAUCGUGUAAAUACUAGAGAGCCAGCCAGGGGAGAAGGCCCCUAUUGGGAACAUGGCCAAGCAAAAUGAUAAAGAAUGGAGAGACCUGUUGUGGUAUCAUGGAGUCCCUGGCUUAACCCACCUUGGAGCCACCUGCUUUGUGGACCCACUGCCAUGUAGGAUGAUGAGAUGUUCCUAAGACUGCGAGUUUGGGCCUUCAGGUACCUGCAAGAGAAAGGAUUCUUACUAACCUACCCCAUGUCUUUCAGAAAAGCUGAUGCUCCAGGAAGAUGCACAAUAGUAAUGUCAUGAAUUUGUCCUUCUUCCCCCCCACCACGUGUCUUCAAACCCCUGAGAUAAUGAUACCUGCAUUUGAGAAACUCAACCACCACCUUCCUCAUGGUGAUUUUAAGGUGUGCGCUUACUCGUGAUAAAACAUAUAAAACAUAAGCUUGCAGAAUAUGCGUUUGUUGGUCAGUUGUAAUGAUCUUCCUCUUCUGUGCA